UAAUUUUUUUAUUUUCACAUUCUUCUGAGCUAUCAUUGGAACUAACUUCAUUAUCAAACUCAACAUUUGGUUUUCUGAUUCGUUUAAGGACAAUGAAGUAUUUUUUGAAAUGUUUUCAGUUCCUGAUAAAAGCUUCAGCUGUUCUUGCUUUGCUGUACUGAGGCCAAAAACAAUUAUUAUAAUCUUUGAACCAAUUACAUGGAACUGCUUCUACACUGUUUUCUUCCAAAAAUUUAACAACAUACCAACCAGGAAUUUAGAUAAUUUAUCUGUAUUAAGCGGACAAAAUGUAGCAGAUGUAAAUAUAUCAAGUAAAAUUUUUGAUGUUAGUAUGUCAGAUGAUAAUUUAAAUGUUGGUAAUCAAGGAACAAUUGAUACAAUGGAAGAACUUCAAAAGUACAUUGAUUCAAAAUUUGAAACAUUAAAUAAUUCUAUAUUGAAUCAGCAAAAUUACAUGCAACAAUCGUUACUUUGAAUGCUUGGAAAAUGGCAGACUGAUACAUCCAGAUUACUUAUAACCAUGGGUCUGCACCAGAAAGAAAAAUUACAAUAUUUAAAAAAUAUUCAAAGUAUGGUCAAUAACAUAAACACAGUACCAAUUAAUUCUCAUGACAACACUAAUAGAUAUAAAGAAGAAGGUAUUGCAAUAUACAAUAGAUUUCCAGCAACUUCUUUAGAUAUUUUAAAUAAACUUGAUGAUGAAGUAAAAAUUCUUAAAUCAACUAAAAUUGAUGCAUAUAAUACGUUGGUUAAAAACAUAUCACUUAUUGGUGGAUCGUCUCUGGGUGAACUUUUAAGGCGUACACUUAAGAACAUUUUAACUGAUGAAGUAGCGGAGCAAUUUAGUUGGUUUGGCAGACAAAAAAAAAAAAAAGUUUCGCAAUUACAGGACUAGCUGAUUUGAUAAAAAGUGCUGUUAAAUUGAAAUA